ACUUUUGCGAUCGAAAUAGGUUCUGUAAAACUCCUGUUCAUGGAGACAGAUUAAAAGGGAACCGGGUGGAAAUCCCGGACAGUCCACGCUGCUGUAAAACUUCAGUAACAUCCCGAUAACACCUUUUGCCACUGGCGGAGAGACAGCCUCGCCGGGAAGGCUUUCGGGAUGGAAGUAAGUCAGAAGACCUGCCAUUUUUCACAUAGCGAU
rnacentral:ncRNA from 2 species